GCUGGGCAUGGUGGCGUGCACCUAUAGUCCCACCUACUCAGAAGGCUGAAGCGGGAGGAUCGCUUGAGCCCAGGAGUUCCAGGCCAUAGAGUGCUAUGCUGAUAGGGUGUCCACACUAAGUCUGGCAUCAAACGUUCACCUCCUGGGAGCAGGGGACCACCAGGUUGCCUAAGGAGGGGUCAACUGACCCAGGUCAGAAACAGAACAGGUCAAAACUCCCAUGCUGAUCAGUAGUGGGAUUGCUCCUGUGAAUAGCCACUGCACUCCCGCCUGGACAACAUGGCGAGACCCUACCUCU
rnacentral:SRP_RNA from 1 species